rnacentral:tRNA from 1 species
GGAAGUUUAGCUCAGCUGGUUAGAGCAUCUCCUUUACACGGAGAGGGCCAGGGGUUCGAGUCCCUUAACUUCCACCA